UACGUAGGUGGCAAGCGUUGUCCGGAUUUACUGGGCGUAAAGAGCGCGCAGGCGGUCGGAUCAGUCGAAUGUGAAAGCCCCCGGCUCAACUGGGGAGGGUCAUUCGAUACUGUCCGACUCGAAGGCAGGAGAGGGAAGCGGAAUUCCUGGUGUAGUGGUGAAAUGCGUAGAUAUCGGGAGGAACACCAGUGGCGAAGGCGGCUUUCUGGCCUGUUCUUGACGCUGAGGCGCGAAAGCUAGGGGAGCGAACGGG
rnacentral:rRNA from 1 species